rnacentral:lncRNA from 1 species
CACACCUAUGACCGGUGAAAUGGAAAAGCCCUAGGUUAUACCUUUGCCUUGUGCUUUCCAUUCCAUCUCCUCCAAUGUUGAUGCAACACAUGCACCAACCAAUCACCAAAUGAUAUGAUCCACUUCAUAUCAUCACAUGACCGUAUUGGUUCAUCGAUCUUGACCUCACUUGCUCUUCACCGUUGCCUCGGUCCAUCGGCGCCAAGUCUUGCUCAAGCUUCACCAUCACACGCGGUCCCUUGCUUCAAAGCCUCCGACUUGCCCUUCACUCUUGCAACCGGUCCAUCGAGCCAAGCCUCAUCUUGAUCUUCUCCACCU